GCCAGGGUGGCUCAGCUGGUUAAGCGUCCGACUUCGACUCAGGUCAUGAUCUCAUGGUUCAUGGGUUCGAGCCCCAUGUCAGGCU
rnacentral:tRNA from 1 species